GGAGAGGUUGCCGAGGGGUUUAAGGCGCCGCUCUCGAAAAGCGGUUCUCCCGAAAGGAGACGUGGGUUCGAAUCCCACCCUCUCCGCCA
rnacentral:tRNA from 1 species